GGCGGCGUGCUUAAACAUGCAAGUCGAACGAUGAAGCCCAGCUUGCUGGGUGGAUUAGUGGCGAACGGGUGAGUAACACGUGAGUAACCUGCCCCCGACUCUGGGAUAAGCCCGGGAAACUGGGUCUAAUACCGGAUAUGACCUCGCACCGCAUGGUGCGGGGUGGAAAGAUUUAUCGGUGGGGGAUGGACUCGCGGCCUAUCAGCUUGUUGGUGAGGUAAUGGCUCACCAAGGCGACGACGGGUAGCCGGCCUGAGAGGGUGACCGGCCACACUGGGACUGAGACACGGCCCAGACUCCUACGGGAGGCAGCAGUGGGGAAUAUUGCACAAUGGGCGCAAGCCUGAUGCAGCGACGCCGCGUGAGGGAUGACGGCCUUCGGGUUGUAAACCUCUUUCAGUAGGGAAGAAGCGAAAGUGACGGUACCUGCAGAAGAAGCGCCGGCUAACUACGUGCCAGCAG
rnacentral:rRNA from 1 species